CUCAAGCUCCCCAAAAUAAAAACUUUUUACAGAAAAAGUGCCAAUUCUAGAUUGUCACACUACUGAUUCCGUUGCUUUCUUAUGACCUCCAAGUUCCAUUGGGUUGAAGGGACUUGGUUCUGAAGUGUGUCGAUUUUCUUGUAUUGAAAGUUGCUCAUGGAAGCAGGAGAAGUGGCAGCUACAAGAUCAGGAGCACUUGGUUGGCCAUGUCGCUUCUUUCUCCUCUUUUGGAAAGAAAUGCAAGUUAUUUUGAAAAGAAAGAGAGACAGAGAGAACGGACACAUUAUUUCUGCACCAUCUGUUGCAGGCAUACAUCAGCUUUAGUGUUAAAUACAUUCUAUUGGCCUCUGGUUUUAACGCAGGUAAUGAUACCCUUACCAUUACAUUACUACUGGUUUACUACGCAUCCGACGUGGCUUUAUUUAUUUCUUUUCGUUUGUUAUCUGCUGCUAGACGCCUCUAAGAUUGGGAUGUGAUUUGCUCCCUGCAAUGUCAGAAUGAUGUAACUCUACACAGUACACAAUUUCACUUUCAAAUUCAAAUCUUACCUCUACACGGAAUUAUUUGCUUUCAAUUUCGCUGAGCUCUCCCCUCCUCUCAAAUAUCUCAGCCCGAAUGAACCUCUCAUUGUCGCAGGCCGAGAUCAAACCUCUUGGCAUCGUCGAAGGGCGAACGAACCUCUCUAUUUGUCUCAGGUAUGGGCGAUUUGGACGAAAUCAUACCAGGGUUUGACGCUGCCGCCGCCGCCUUGCACAGCCGACCCUCCUGAGCUGCUAGGUUCUAGUUGUUUCUACUUCAAAGACAGGCAAGCAUGGACAUGCAAACUGCCACUUUGUAGCAAUCGACGUAUUUAAUAGGAAGAAGCUUGAGGAUAUUGUUCCAGUGGCUAUGGCUGAUGACAAAUGAAUACGUUUGCUUUUAUGUUUGACAGGGAUGAUAUCUUCUGGGUAUACAAUAAGUUUUCCAUAAGAUGGCCAUUUGACGUUGUAUAAAUUAGUAUUUAGAUGUGCUUAAAAUCUUGUCUUGUAA